UACGGAGGGUGCAAGCGUUAUCCGGAUUCACUGGGUUUAAAGGGUGCGUAGGUGGGCAGGUAAGUCCGUGGUGAAAUCUCUGAGCUUAACUCAGAAACUGCCGUGGAUACUAUUUGUCUUGAAUGUUGUGGAGGUGAGCGGAAUAUGUCAUGUAGCGGUGAAAAUGCUUAGAUAUGACAUAGAACACCAAUUGCGAAGGCAGCUCACUACACAAUUAUUGACGCUGAGGCACGAAAGCGUGGGGAUCAAACAGG
rnacentral:rRNA from 1 species